UAAAGUAUCUUUUAGCUUAAUAAAAUUUUUGAAAUAUUUCUUUGAUGUAUUUAAACACAAAUUAGUUCUAUGCAAUGAACAACGACAUGUAAACACUAAAGACGAUUCAUAGGCGUGCCAGCUAUCGCGGUUAUACCCUAGUAUUACAUUUUAUUCUUGAUACUGUAUAAUAAGACACAUAGCAUUUUAAAAAUAAAAAGUGAAAUUUUAUUUUUGUAAAAAUAAAUAUUUAUAUAGUCAAAUUUAGAACAAAAACUAGGAUUAGAGACCCUAUUAUUCUAAAUUUUAGAAACAAAGAAGUAUACUCAUAUCUAAACUUAAUUAAGAUGGCGGUAAAAUUUUCAUUAGAGGAGACUGUUUUGUAAUCGAUAACCCUCGUUUUUGUCCUUUUUGUUUUAUUGUGUAUAUCGCCGUUGAAAUCUAAUUUUAGAUUGGAUUGUUUUAAUUAUAAUUUAUGUCAACAGGUCAAGAUACAAAUAAUAAAAAAGUGUAUAAUGGUCUACAAUUAAAUAUUAUUUAAUUAAAAUAUAAAUUAUUUAAUUAAUUAUGUUUUAACGGAUUUAUUAGUAAUUUUGACUAAUCUUAUAACAAGAUGAUUAUUUAUAAUUUUAUGUACAUAUCGCCCGUCACCCUCAUGAGAGGUAAGUCGUAACAAAGUAGAUUUUUUGGAAAAAAAAUCUAGU
rnacentral:rRNA from 1 species